GUAGGGUGUGUAGUCAGAAAAUGUGUGUGAAAAUAGAGAGUAUCUUAUAAGGAAUUGAGCAAAUUCUCUAAGGCAUGUUACUACAUUCAAAAUAUUGUUUUAAUUGGUUAAUUGUGAACUAGUAAGUAGUGACUGUGAUUAAGUUUGUGCUCAAGUGUGAAGGUAACCAAAAUCUGUUGGAAUUAUGAUUUUUAACAUGUCAUGUGCAUUGGAAAUCCCUGAGGCAAAUGUUGGAAGGUUAGGUUGUGUUUUGUUUGUUUUGUUUCGUUUUGUUUCUUUUAUUUUGCUCGAGGACUAGCAAAAGCUAAGUGUGGGGGAAUUUGAUAGGAGCAUAUUUAUGCAACUUAGUUAGCUUGUUUCUUGGCAUUUACUUAGUUUAAUUCUAGUUAUUUUAGUACUUUAAGCUAUUUUUGUGUGUUUGUAGGUUCAAAUAACAAAGUUGGCAACAAAGUGCUAUUUGGAGCAUUUUGGAGCAUUUUUGGGCCAAGAUUGGAUAGUGCAAGCAUGGAGACAUGAGGAUGGACGUUUUUGAAGAUUAGAAGGCUAGAAAUCAGCAUGUGCAAGUGUGUUGACUUACAACUACAAACAUCCAUCCACUACACCCAUUACAUCCCCUCAUUAACAAACAUCCAUCCACUACACACAUUACAUCCACUCAUUACCAAAUACUCAUCCACUACACCCAUUACAUCCACUCAUUAUCAAACAUUCAUCCACUGCACCCAUUACAUCCACUCAUUACCAAACACUCACCCACUAUACCCAUUACAUCCACUCAUUACCACAACAUACAACACUACCACUUUAAUUAGAUGGUGGUCCUCUCCCUAGCCUAUAAAUAAAUUCACCUUUCACCAUAACAAAGAGGAGAAAAAAUCCGUCAAAAGACACUACAUUCACAUCUCACAACUCCAUACACUUACACUUUCAUUCCUUGGCCGUGAGCACUAUCCAUUCAUGUAACACAUCCAUUCAUCUUCACAUCCAUUCCUCCAUACAACCAAACCUUCAAACACUCACCAACACCUUGUGUCGUAGAAACGGAAGGGAAGGAAAGUGCUUGGACGUGCAUGUUGUCCAACUUGGAUCAUUAGAACGUUUAGGUGUUUUCUUUCUUUUGUUUUCAAUGUCUAAAUUUGUUUACCUUUGCUUUGUGAGUAUAAGGAACUAAACCCCCCUUAGCUAGGGGGAAUUCGAAACCAUGUUCAUGCUUGCAAUAUGAUUUGAUUACUUUCAGCUGUGAUUCAUAAGUUGUGAAUUCAAUUUACUUAUCCAUUUGAAUUAAAAUUGAUUUGUGUAUGUUGGUUGAGAGUGCACGCUUAAUUUUCAUGCAUAAAUCUGAUGCGAGGAUAUAAGG
rnacentral:lncRNA from 1 species